rnacentral:tRNA from 1 species
GAGGGUAUAGCUCAGUGUCAGAGUGCAUGCUUAGCAUGCACAAGGUCCUGGGUUCAAUCCUCAGUACCUCCA